UUACUGCUUUAUCUCCCGGAAAGCGCUCUUAGUUCAGUUCAGUAGAACGUGUGUCUCCAAAACCCAAUGUCGUAGGUUCAAAUCCUACAGAGCGUGAUUCUCAAUAUAUCACCUCAAUGAGAGCUCACGGAUAUGUCUGACCCCCCAUCAUGGUGAACCUCUCCUUGUGAUCGGGAUGAGGUAGAUGCCUCCCAGCNNNNNNNNNNUGAAACACUCCGCCUGGGGAGUACGGUCGCAAGACCGAAACUCAAAGGAAUUGACGGGGGCCUGCACAAGCGGUGGAGCAUGUGGUUUAAUUCGAUACAACGCGCAAAACCUUACCAGCCCUUGACAUAUGAACAACAAAACAUGUCCUUAACAGGAUGGUACUGACUUUCAUACAGGUGCUGCAUGGCUGUCGUCAGCUCGUGUCGUGAGAUGUUUGGUCAAGUCCUAUAACGAGCGAAACCCUCGUUUUGUGUUGCUGAGACAUGCGCCUAAGGAGAAAUUGCCACCGAGUGACGUGCCAGCGCUACUACUUGAUUGAGUGCCAGCACGCAGCUGUGCUUUCAGCAAGAAUUUCACCAUUGGGAGCCGGUGCCUUUUGAAGCACUUUCACAUGUGAACCGAAGUCGUCUUGCCCAAGACCCACGGAGACCUACCUAUAGUGACGUCAAAGUACCAGUGAGCAUGGAGGUUUGGUUGAAAUUGGUUACGACGACGUCGAGUUGGCGGCGGAGGAAGACUCGGCAUGAAGGCCAGAAAAUGGUGUGGAACGUAGUGGUAAUAGUACGCGCCCCGCUCCGAAACAAAGAAAAAGGUGCGUGCCGCACUCACGAGGGACUGCCAGUGAGAUACUAGAGGAAGGUGGGGAUGACGUCAAGUCCACAUGGCCCUUAUGGGCUGGGCCACACACGUGCUACAAUGGCAAUGACAAUGGGAAGCAAGGCUGUAAGGCGGAGCGAAUCCGGAAAGAUUGCCUCAGUUCAGAUUGUUCUCUGCAACUCGGGAACAUGAAGUUGAAAUCGCUAGUAAUCGCGGAUCAGCAUGCCGCGGUGAAUAUGUACCCAGGCCCUGUACACACCGCCCGUCACACCCUGGGAAUUGGUUUCGCCCGAAGCAUCGGACCAAUGAUCACCCAUGACUUCUGUGUACCACUAGUGCCACAAAGGCCUUUGGUGGUCUUAUUGGCGCAUACCACGGUGGGGUCUUCGACUGGGGUGAAGUCAUAACAAGGUAGCCGUAGGGGAACCUGUGGCUG
rnacentral:rRNA from 1 species